AAUGAACGCUGGCGGCAUGCCUAACACAUGCAAGUCGAACGAAGGCUUCGGCCUUAGUGGCGCACGGGUGCGUAACGCGUGGGAAUCUGCCCUCAGGUUCGGAAUAACAGCGAGAAAUUGCUGCUAAUACCGGAUGAUAUCGCGAGAUCAAGGAUUUAUCGCCUGAGGAUGAGCCCGCGUAGGAUUAGCUAGUUGGUGUGGUAAAGGCGCACCAAGGCGACGAUCCUUAGCUGGUCUGAGAGGAUGAUCAGCCACACUGGGACUGAGACACGGCCCAGACCCCUACGGGGGGAAGCAGUGGGGAAUAUUGGACAAUGGGCGAAAGCCUGAUCCAGCAAUGCCGCGUGAGUGAUGAAGGCCUUAGGGUUGUAAAGCUCUUUUACCCGGGAUGAUAAUGACAGUACCGGGAGAAUAAGCUCCGGCUAACUCCGUGCCAGCCGCCGCGGUAA
rnacentral:rRNA from 1 species